rnacentral:rRNA from 1 species
UACGAAGGGGGCUAGCGUUGCUCGGAAUCACUGGGCGUAAAGCGCACGUAGGCGGCUUUUUAAGUCAGGGGUGAAAUCCUGGAGCUCAACUCCAGAACUGCCUUUGAUACUGGGAAGCUUGAGUCCGGGAGAGGUGAGUGGAACUGCGAGUGUAGAGGUGAAAUUCGUAGAUAUUCGCAAGAACACCAGUGGCGAAGGCGGCAUCCUGGACCGCAUGA